rnacentral:rRNA from 1 species
UAGGGAAUCUUCGGCAAUGGGGGGAACCCUGACCGAGCAACGCCGCGUGAGUGAAGAAGGUUUUCGGAUCGUAAAGCUCUGUUGUUAAGGAAGAACGAGUGUGAGAAUGGAAAGUUCAUACUGUGACGGUACUUAACCAGAAAGGGACGGCUAACUACGUGCCAGCAGCCGCGGUAAUACGUAGGUCCCGAGCGUUGUCCGGAUUUAUUGGGCGUAAAGCGAGCGCAGGCGGUUAGAUAAGUCUGAAGUUAAAGGCAGUGGCUCAACCAUUGUAGGCUUUGGAAACUGUUUAACUUGAGUGCAGAAGGGGAGAGUGGAAUUCCAUGUGUAGCGGUGAAAUGCGUAGAUAUAUGGAGGAACACCGGUGGCGAAAGCGGCUCUCUGGUCUGUAACUGACGCUGAGGCUCGAAAGCGUGGGGAGCAAACAGGAUUAGAUACCCUGGUAGUCCACGCCGUAAACGAUGAGUGCUAAGUGUUGGUCUCAUAAGAGAUCAGUGCUGCAGCUAACGCAUUAAGCACUCCGCCUGGGGAGUACGACCGCAAGGUUG